ACUCCUACGGGAGGCAGCAGUGGGGAAUAUUGGACAAUGGGCGCAAGCCUGAUCCAGCCAUGCCGCGUGAGUGAUGAAGGCCCUAGGGUUGUAAAGCUCUUUCACCGGUGAAGAUAAUGACGGUAACCGGAGAAGAAGCCCCGGCUAACUUCGUGCCAGCAGCCGCGGUAAUACGAAGGGGGCUAGCGUUGUUCGGAUUUACUGGGCGUAAAGCGCACGUAGGCGGACUAUUAAGUCAGGGGUGAAAUCCCGGGGCUCAACCCCGGAACUGCCUUUGAUACUGGUAGUCUUGAGUUCGAGAGAGGUGAGUGGAAUUCCGAGUGUAGAGGUGACAUUCGUAGAUAUUCGGAGGAACACCAGUGGCGAAGGCGGCUCACUGGCUCGAUACUGACGCUGAGGUGCGAAAGCGUGGGGAGCAAACAGGAUUAGAAACCCGAGUAGUCCCAUGAU
rnacentral:rRNA from 1 species